CUACGGGUCGCUGCAGUGGGGAAUAUUGGACAAUGGGGGCAACCCUGAUCCAGCGACGCCGCGUGAAUGAAGAAGGUCUUCGGGUUGUAAAGUACUUUCAGCGGGGAGGAAGGGAGUAAAGUUAAUACCUUUGCUCAUUGACGUUACCCGCAGAAGAAGCACCGGCUAACUCCGUGCCAGCAGCCGCGGUAAUACGGAGGGUGCAAGCGUUAAUCGGAAUUACUGGGCGUAAAGCGCACGCAGGCGGUUUGUUAAGUCAGAUGUGAAAUCCCCGGGCUCAACCUGGGAACUGCAUCUGAUACUGGCAAGCUUGAGGCUCGUAGAGGGGGGUAGAAUUCCAGGUGUAGCGGUGAAAUGCGUAGAGAUCUGGAGGAAUACCGGUGGCGAAGGCGGCCCCCUGGACGAAGACUGACGCUCAGGUGCGAAAGCGUGGGGAGCAAACAGGAUUAGAUACCCUCGUAGUC
rnacentral:rRNA from 1 species